ACUGCGUACCUUUUGUAUAAUGGGUCAGCGACUUAUAUUCUGUAGCAAGGUUAACCGAAUAGGGGAGCCGGAGGGAAACCGAGUCUUAAUUGGGCGUUAAGUUGCAGGGUAUAGACCCGAAACCCGGUGAUCUAGCCAUGGGCAGGUUGAAGGUUGGGUAACACUAACUGGAGGACCGAACCGACUAAUGUUGAAAAAUUAGCGGAUGACCUGUGGCUGGGGGUGAAAGGCCAAUCAAACCGGGAGAUAGCUGGUUCUCCCCGAAAGCUAUUUAGGUAGCGCCUCGUGAAUUCAUCUCCGGGGGUAGAGCACUGUUUCGGCUAGGGGGCCAUCCCGGCUUACCAACCCGAUGCAAACUGCGAAUACCGGAGAAUGUUAUCACGGGAGACACACGGCGGGUGCUAACGUCCGUCGUGAAGAGGGAAACAACCCAGACCGCCAGCUAAGGUCCCAAAGUCAUGGUUAAGUGGGAAACGAUGUGGGAAGGCCCAGACAGCCAGGAUGUUGGCUUAGAAGCAGCCAUCAUUUAAAGAAAGCGUAAUAGCUCACUGGUCGAGUCGGCCUGCGCGGAAGAUGUAACGGGGCUAAACCAUGCACCGAAGCUGCGGCAGCGACACUCAGGUGUUGUUGGGUAGGGGAGCGUUCUGUAAGCCUGCGAAGGUGGCCUGUGAGGGUUGCUGGAGGUAUCAGAAGUGCGAAUGCUGACAUAAGUAACGAUAAAGCGGGUGAAAAGCCCGCUCGCCGGAAGACCAAGGGUUCCUGUCCAACGUUAAUCGGGGCAGGGUGAGUCGACCCCUAAGGCGAGGCCGAAAGGCGUAGUCGAUGGGAAACGGGUUAAUAUUCCCGUACUUGGUGUUACUGCGAAGGGGGGACGGAGAAGGCUAUGUUGGCCGGGCGACGGUUGUCCCGGUUUAAGCGUGUAGGUGUGUGUUCCAGGUAAAUCCGGUUCACUUUAACACUGAGGCGUGACGACGAGGCACUACGGUGCUGAAGCAACAAAUGCCCUGCUUCCAGGAAAAGCCUCUAAGCAUCAGGUAACAUCAAAUCGUACCCCAAACCGACACAGGUGGUCAGGUAGAGAAUACCAAGGCGCUUGAGAGAACUCGGGUGAAGGAACUAGGCAAAAUGGUGCCGUAACUUCGGGAGAAGGCACGCUGACAUGUAGGUGAAGUGAUUUACUCAUGGAGCUGAAGUCAGUCGAAGAUACCAGCUGGCUGCAACUGUUUAUUAAAAACACAGCACUGUGCAAACACGAAAGUGGACGUAUACGGUGUGACGCCUGCCCGGUGCCGGAAGGUUAAUUGAUGGGGUCAGCGCAAGCGAAGCUCCUGAUCGAAGCCCCGGUAAACGGCGGCCGUAACUAUAACGGUCCUAAGGUAGCGAAAUUCCUUGUCGGGUAAGUUCCGACCUGCACGAAUGGCGUAAUGAUGGCCAGGCUGUCUCCACCCGAGACUCAGUGAAAUUGAACUCGCUGUGAAGAUGCAGUGUACCCGCGGCAAGACGGAAAGACCCCGUGAACCUUUACUAUAGCUUGACACUGAACAUUGAGCCUUGAUGUGUAGGAUAGGUGGGAGGCUUUGAAGUGUGGACGCCAGUCUGCAUGGAGCCGACCUUGAAAUACCACCCUUUAAUGUUUGAUGUUCUAACGUGGACCCGUGAUCCGGGUUGCGGACAGUGUCUGGUGGGUAGUUUGACUGGGGCGGUCUCCUCCUAAAGAGUAACGGAGGAGCACGAAGGUUGGCUAAUCCUGGUCGGACAUCAGGAGGUUAGUGCAAUGGCAUAAGCCAGCUUGACUGCGAGCGUGACGGCGCGAGCAGGUGCGAAAGCAGGUCAUAGUGAUCCGGUGGUUCUGAAUGGAAGGGCCAUCGCUCAACGGAUAAAAGGUACUCCGGGGAUAACAGGCUGAUACCGCCCAAGAGUUCAUAUCGACGGCGGUGUUUGGCACCUCGAUGUCGGCUCAUCACAUCCUGGGGCUGAAGUAGGUCCCAAGGGUAUGGCUGUUCGCCAUUUAAAGUGGUACGCGAGCUGGGUUUAGAACGUCGUGAGACAGUUCGGUCCCUAUCUGCCGUGGGCGCUGGAGAACUGAGGGGGGCUGCUCCUAGUACGAGAGGACCGGAGUGGACGCAUCACUGGUGUUCGGGUUGUCAUGCCAAUGGCACUGCCCGGUAGCUAAAUGCGGAAGAGAUAAGUGCUGAAAGCAUCUAAGCACGAAACUUGCCCCGAGAUGAGUUCU
rnacentral:rRNA from 1 species